rnacentral:rRNA from 1 species
UACGAAGGGGGCUAGCGUUGCUCGGAAUCACUGGGCGUAAAGGGCGCGUAGGCGGCCAUUCAAGUCAGGGGUGAAAGCCUGUGGCUCAACCACAGAAUUGCCUUUGAUACUGUUUGGCUAGAGACCGGAAGAGGUAAGUGGAACUGCGAGUGUAGAGGUGAAAUUCGUAGAUAUUCGCAAGAACACCAGUGGCGAAGGCGGUUCACUGGCCCGAUACUGACGCUGAGGUGCGAAAGCAUGGGGAGCGAACAGG